CCAAGGAGUCUAACACGUGCGCAAGUCGUAGGGUUUCCCUCGAAGCCCGAAGGCGCAAUGAAAGUGAACCGUAGGCGGGAUCCCUGUUUUUGUGCGAGAGCACGACGGGGCGCACCGCCGGCCCGUCUCGUUUGGUCGGCCCCUUGUUUGUCGGUACCCUUCUCCUCCGGGUGAAGGGUGCGGAACAGGGUUCGACGGAGGCGGAGCGAGAGCGUACACGUUAGGACCCGAAAGACGGUGAACUAUUCCCGGACAGGACGAAGCCGGAGGAAACUCCGGUGGAGGUCCGUAGCGAUUCUGACGUGCAAAUCGAUCGUCGGAUCCGGGUA
rnacentral:rRNA from 1 species